rnacentral:rRNA from 1 species
UACGAAGGGUGCAAGCGUUACUCGGAAUUACUGGGCGUAAAGCGUGCGUAGGUGGUUUGUUAAGUCAGAUGUGAAAGCCCCGGGCUCAACCUGGGAAUUGCAUUUGAGACUGCAUAGCUAGGGUGCGGAAGAGGGAAGCGGAAUUUCCGGUGUAGCGGUGAAAUGCGUAGAUAUCGGAAGGAACACCAGUGGCGAAAGCGGCUUCCUGGUCCAGCACCGACGUCAGGCACGAAAGCGUGGGGAGCAAACAGG